UACGGGGGGAGCAAGCGUUGUUCGGAUUUACUGGGCGUAAAGGGCGCGUAGGCGGCCAGCACAAGUCAGUUGUGAAAUCUCCGAGCUUAACUCGGAAAGGUCAACUGAUACUGUGCGGCUAGAGUGCAGAAGGGGCAACUGGAAUUCUUGGUGUAGCGGUGAAAUGCGUAGAUAUCGGGAGGAACACCUGUGGCGAAAGCGGCUCACUGGACCACAAGCGACGCUGAUGCACGAAAGCUAGGGGAGCAAACAGG
rnacentral:rRNA from 1 species